GCUGGUGUGGCGGAAUGGCAGACGCAGCAGACUCAAAAUCUGCCAUAGGCAACUAUGUGCGGGUUCAAGUCCCGCCACCAGCA
rnacentral:tRNA from 1 species